GAGAGUCUAGUUAAAUUAAUAACAAUAGGUUGUCAAUCUUUAAUUACUCUUAUAGAGUGACUCUCG
rnacentral:tRNA from 1 species